GCUGGGUGUGGUGGCGCACACCUGUAAUCCCAGCUACUUGGGAGGCUGAGGCAGGAGAAUCACUUGAACCAGGGAGGUGGAGACUGCAGUGAGCUGAGAUUGUACCACUGUAUUCCAGCCUAGGUAACAGAGUGAGACUCUGUCUCAA
ensembl:misc_RNA Metazoa_SRP Metazoan signal recognition particle RNA